UAAAAAUAAAACCUGCUGGACAGCGAGUCGCUUCCACCUCUGAAUUCGUGUAAACGAAACUCAUGUCUUUGCUCGUUCCCAGCAGGUACGUUCAAAAAGGCAUAAAGAGCUGUCCAGGGUACACCUCGCCCUGUGGUGGCUGGGAAAGGCUCCAGCCCCUCCAGGACUCUGAAUUGGACAUGCAGAUGAGAAUGAAUGGAUGUAUUCAACAGAAAUGUUAAGAAAGUAUUUUAGGUUUGUGAUCUUGAACUCUGGAAUCUUGAGCUGAUGAUGGCUCUGGACACAAUAUCGAAGGACCACAAAACUCAGUAGCUGUACUGAAGUUAACAACCAACAAAUCGUCCUUAUUAUUAUCGCCAACCCGAUGAAAAAGAAAUAUUGCAUCCUGUUGUUGGAGCUAGAUGGAAACCUAGGGGUUCGUCAACGUUAUCUAGACAUUUCACCCAAAAAAUGUCCUCAUGGUGGUGCUAGAGGAGAGGCCACAGGAUCCACAACAUUACGAGUGGCAUUAAUAUUCUUCCUGGCACUUUGCCAUUCAAGUGUGUUAACCAACCAGACAGGCAGCAUGCACAACUGACAUAUGAAAUCUAUUCAUUGUUUGUGUAUGCAGGUAUGGACAAACAGAGUCAUUGUUUUUGUAAAAGCAGUGUUCUUUCAGUGUCAUUUCCCACGAAAAGAAUUAUUUAUCACAAGGCCAGAGAUUGUAUGCCUACUGCUUUAAUAUCACUGACCUCCAUCAUAUAAAAUUAUAUAAAAUCAUAUCCUUCAAUGCAACAUUUGUGCAGUGAUUUGCCUCCCAAAUUUUAUGUUUUUUUUGUUUGUUUGCCCCGACAGUCAUUGCCAUGGCAACACAAGCAAGUGAAAUGACUGUAAAGUUCAGAGGGAGGCUGUACCAAGAAGCCCAGUCCAUCACUUUGUAAAAUUCAAAACCAAAGGCAGCACAGCAACAUCUCUCUGAGGCCGAGAGAACUACAGUCUGCCAUAAAGUGUUCUUUUAAUCUCUCACAUCAUUCAGAGAAACGCUGCAAGUUUUACCUCAACUUGUAUACAAACACCACACAAAAGCCUUCCUUCCUUUCUUCUUCCUUCCUUUUCAGCUGUUCGCUGAAAAGUAAAUGCAACAAGUUGAUUCUAUGCUAGUCUUUUUAAAGACUAGAGUCUUUAACACCUUUUUAAAGGUGUUAAAGAUUCAUAGAGGGUAAUGAACGAAACACUAAGGUGAAAUAGAGAAAGAAUGACAGAGUGCGAGACAGCAAACAUAUAUAGUACAUUGCAUCCUGUAAGCCCCUGCAUAGCCACACACUAAUAUUAUUUAUGUCUUUUUAUAUAUUAUUUAUUUUGACACAUUGACACAUCAAAGUGCUAACUUUAUUUUUUACUUUGAAAGCACUCACAUCAACAUAAGAGCAGUCUUUCAGGGGCAGUAGACCUGCCCAAGCCUAUAACUUUUGAAAAAAUAAAAUUCAUAGAGAAAUACAAUCCAUAAAAAGUAACACUAAACUUAACAGCCAGUGGGACAAAUGCAAGAUGAAUAACCACGAAUUAAAAUGCUUUAAACGGCUGACCAAUACCUAUGACCACCAUAUGUGUGCAGUUCAUUUUUACAAUCCAUCGAUAUUCAGUAUGUUAUCUAUUGGAGAUUAUGUAUCGGAAUUUCAGGAGCAGGACCACGCCUCCAAACACACUCCUUCCAGCUGUCAUCUAUACAGGUUCCCCCAGUUCUGCAAGCUGAUCAUUCUUGUUUACGUGCCCCACCCUCCCUCCCUCCUUGUUCUCUAUUCUUUAACUUCUUCGCUUCUAUUUAGUACAUGGG